CAACUUUCAGCAACGGAUCUCUUGGCUCUCGCAUCGAUGAAGAACGCAGCGAAAUGCGAUAAGUAAUGUGAAUUGCAGAAUUCAGUGAAUCAUCGAAUCUUUGAACGCACCUUGCGCUCCUUGGUAUUCCGAGGAGCAUGCCUGUUUGAGUGUCAUGAAAU
rnacentral:rRNA from 1 species